GACGAACGCUGGCGGCGUGCUUAACACAUGCAAGUCGAACGGAAAGGCCCUGCUUUUGUGGGGUGCUCGAGUGGCGAACGGGUGAGUAACACGUGAGUAACCUGCCCUUGACUUUGGGAUAACUUCAGGAAACUGGGGCUCAUACCGGAUAGGAGCUCCUGCUGCAUGGUGGGGGUUGGAAAGUUUCGGCUGUUGGGGAUGGACUCGCGGCUUAUCCGCUUGUUUGUGGGGUAGUGGCUUACCAAGGCUUUGACGGGUAGGCGGCCUUGGAGGGUGGACGGCCACCUUGGGACUGAGAUACGGCCCAGAAUCCUACGGGACGCAGCAGUGGGGAAUAUUGCAGAAUGGGCGGAAGCCUGAUGCAGCAACGCCGCGUGCGGGAUGACGUCCUUCGGGUUGUAAACCGCUUUCGCCUGUGACGAAGCGUGAGUGACGGUAAUGGGUAAAGAAGCACCGGCUAACUACGUG
rnacentral:rRNA from 1 species